AGGGAGAAACCUGCCGCCGCUCUCCGCCUCUUUGUCUGCUCCGGGACUUGGAACAAAAGGGGGAACUCUGAUGAACUCUCUUUCCUCCCCGAUCCCCCUGACUGACGCCCGCCCCGGUAUCUUCCCUCUCCCAACUUUGCCAACGCGACUUUCUCUACUGUCAGGCCGCCAAAAAUAAUUUAUUAUUAUAUAUAUAUGUGUGUGUCCCAGCGCCUCCGGGGACUGCAACAAUGGAAACUAUCUCUUAAAAGUGCGACGAAGUGGGGGGAAGAAGGUAUAAUUAUGAUGAGCAACUGAAAGCAUUGAACUCUGGCUGGAGUCUUUGGUAGCAUUUAUCUACACCUCUGGUUCUGCACUGUUUUUUUUUUUUUUUACUGGAUAUACCAACAAAUACCACGGAUUUGCCAGUACAUCAAAUCAUUUUUGGAUGGGAAGUUAGCAUCAUCUUCAUUUGGAGUUACUUAAAAGUUGAAUUGUUGGGAUGGUUGGUGACGCCUGUCCUGUGUGGAUUACUACGAUACGAUGACCAGUAAUUCUCCACCUUAAAGAAGGAAUUGGCAACAAUCUUACUUCCAUGGUGGGUUUGCUGAGGAACUAUCACCAUACAGAAUGAUUGAUGAGUGCUCUUCAGGCUGUGGGAAAAAUUAAGUGAGACCAUGUGUGGAAUGCUUCCAUUGACUUCUUGGUGCACAGUUUUGUGGACUGGAAUUGAAUUUUAAUCUUGCAGUGAUAUCCGUGAUUAAAGGGAGGUUUUAAAAGUUUAGGUGUGAAUCAUGGCCAUAGAGUGAAAGACAGUGAUUUACUGCGUUGGCAGGCACACAUGUGUAUGAUUAAGGAAUGUAAGUGCAAGACUCCAAGAUUUACUUCCUUCCUGUUCCAGCAGGGUUACCUGAGGGAGUGAGUAAUGGGAUAAUUUAUAACACCACAGGCCCUUCAUCACGAGACCACUAGUCAAAACAGGAAGAUAAAACUCAAGAUUUCAAUUGGGGGAAUCCAGCUUUUGGUACUCUCUGGACAUGCCUCUUAAUUGCAAGCAGAAGAAUCUUCAUGAUUUUUCCAGUUUUACUUUCUCGAGGAGAUGUCUGUUGAAAAGGUACUAACAUCUGGGGGAGAAGAGGGUUUAACCCAUUAUCUAUGAGAAUCUAUGGGGAUCUAAAUCUUGAUCUGUAUGUUUCUGACAAAAUCUUCAGCCUUAUACAUGAUAGGAACCUUAUCAAGCAAAGAUCAAACUCAGUUCUGUAAAUAAGAUCUAAUAGAUUCUUUCAUUUGUACAAGGGCUUGAACUUGGGGUCUGGUUGCUUGCUUGGUGGGCACUAAAUCACUUGAGUAACCCCUCAUCCCUUGUGAUUGGUUACUUUGCAAAAGGGUUUCAUAUU